GACGAACGCUGGCGGCGUGCCUAAUACAUGCAAGUCGAACGGAGUGGCGAACGGGUGAGUAAUGUAUCGGAACGUGCCCAGUAGCGGGGGAUAACUACGCGAAAGCGUAGCUAAUACCGCAUACUCUUGGAGCGGCCGAUAGCGGAUUAGCUAGUUGGUGGGGUAAAGGAUCACCAAGGCGAAGAUCCGUAGCCGGUUUGAGAGGACGACCAGCCACACUGGGACUGAGACACGGCCCAGACUCCUACGGGAGGCAGCAGUGGGGAAUUUUGGACAAUGGGGGAAACCCUGAUCCAGCCAUGCCGCGUGUGCGAUGAAGGCCUUCGGGUUGUAAAGCACUUUUGGCAGGAAAGCGGUACCUGCAGAAUAAGCACCGGCUAACUACGUGCCAGCAGCCGCGGUAAUAC
rnacentral:rRNA from 1 species